rnacentral:rRNA from 1 species
UACAGAGGGUGCAAGCGUUGUUCGGAAUUAUUGGCGUAAAGCGCGUGUAGGCGGCAUGGCAAGUCGGGUGUGAAAGCCCUCAGCUUAACUGAGGAAGUGCGCCCGAAACUGCCGUGCUUGAGUGCCGGAGAGGGUGGCGGAAUUCCCCAAGUAGAGGUGAAAUUCGUAGAUAUGGGGAGGAACACCGGUGGCGAAGGCGGC